rnacentral:rRNA from 1 species
UGGGUUUGAUCCUGGCUCUGAGUGAACGCUUGGGGUGGGCAUAACACAUGCGAGUCAACUAUACGUGGCGAACGGGUGAGUAUAGUGGGGCUUUUUUGCCUGGCAGUUCGGGCUAAACCCCGAAUAGGCUGUCCUUUGACGGCUUUAAAAACAGGUUGCUGCCAGAUACGUCCGCGUAGGAUUAGGUUAUCGUAGAGAGCCGACGAUCCUUAGUUGAUCUGGGAAGGAUGCACAGCCACACUGGGACUGAGACAAGGCCCAGGCUCCAGUAGGAGGCAGCAGUGAGGAAUAUUGGGCAAUGGGCGAAAGCCUGACCCAACCACACCUCUAGAUUGAUAGAAGGUCAAGGCCGUAAAUUUAUAGGGUCGGUAAAGAUAUACGACGGUAGCCGGCUGAGGAGCCCCGGCUAACCCCGUGCCAGCAGCCGCGGUAAAACGGGGGGGGCGAGUGUUAUUCGCAUUGACUGGGCGUAAAGUGUGUGUAGGCGGUUUGCUCGAGGGCUUUUGCGAAAACCUGGGGCCAAACCCUUGUGUGACUUUUGCCAUAGCAAGCUAGAGUUUGAUAGAGGUCAGCGGAAUUCUCAGAAGAGGGGUAAAAUCCGGGGACACUGAGACGAACACCAGCACGGCGAAGGCGGCUGGCUGGAUCAAACUGACGCUAAAGCACGGAAGCGCAGGGAGCGAACGGGAUUAGACACCCCGGUAGUCUGCGCCGUCAACGAUGGGUCUCGGCAAACUUCUGUCAAGUUAACGCAUUAAAGAUCCCGCCUGGGGAGUACGGUCGCAAGAUUAAAACUUAAAGGAAUUGACGGGAGUUCGCACCAGCGGUGGGGCAUGCGGUUUAAUCCGAUAAUCCGCGUCAAACAUUACCAGCUCUUGUAUUACCAGGUGUUGCAUGGCCGUCGUCAGCCCGUGUCGUAAGGCGUUUGGUUAACUCCUUACAAAAACGGAAGCAAGACCCCUCCUUGAUUAAGGCACUGCUAUUUAAAUAAUGGUAGGUUCUAGGUAGGCAGGGACUACGCCAGGUCGUCAUGGCCCUAAUGAGCUGGGCUACACAUGUGUCACAUGGCCGCGUACAGCGUGAUGCUUGAUUAAGCAAGGCUUUAACGCGCGGCUAGGUUCGGAUUGUUGCCUGAAACUUGGCAACAUGAAGGCGUAAUCGCUAGUAAUCGCGUAUCAUAACGGCGCGGUGAAUACGUGAUCGAGCUUUGUACACACCGCCCGUCACGCCCGGAAAGACAGCUUUGCUUGAAGAAAUAUUGGUGAAUGCGUAUCGUUUAGCGGAUAGCCAACUUUUGAUAGUGGGGUCGACGAUCGGGGCGAAGUCGUAACAAGGUAGUUGUAGGGGAACCUGUAGCUGGAGAAAGU